rnacentral:lncRNA from 1 species
AUCGAGGAGGUAGAGCCACACGCUUACCUUAGGGAAACACCUUGCACGUUAUAACUGGACAGGUAAAUGUUUGGUGAAAGAGGAUAAAGGAAAUAGAGCCGGUGGCGUGCGAGGAUAUUCAGGAAAACGUCCGGGGCACUGAACUCCCACCACCACUUAGGGAGGCUUUUCCUGUGGAGCCUCGCCCUCCGGUCGGAAGUCGCCUCAACCUGCCUGCCCGGAAGCCGUCGCCUUAGCAACACAGCGUUGUCCCGUCCUCUUCCCUUAGCCACGCCCAUUGUACUUAGAAUUCUAGAGCCAGCCAGACAUCGAUUGGUUCACUUAUCCUUCACUCCGCGAGACAGGCGAGACUGCAGGGCUCUGGAGCGCGUUUUUGAAUUUGUAGCGCGUAUAGAGUCCGUGAGGUACCUUGUGGAGUUCGUGCUGUGGCUGGAGCCAGCUACUCAGGGUGAACUCUGAAGUCCUGAGCUAUGGCAGAACUCAAGCCCCUCAAGUCACAUAGAAAUCUACCCAUCAAACACUGGAUUGCCAUAGAGAUCGUACCCCAUAUCCUGGAGAAAGGACUGCUGCACAGAGAAGCCAAAAAGAACAGACAGCCUCAGUGGAUUAGCAACCAUGUCUAUGCAGCGGUGUCUCCACAAAAACCCUAAAAGCGCCUGCCCCUGGCUCAGCGCCCGGUGCCAACAGAACACCUUUCAGGAUUCACAGCAGCGCAGACAACGACCAGCUCUCUUCCAUCAUGUCCUUCUACCAUGUCGUUUCUGAAUUGAAGCAAGCCAAUCAUGGAGUGAACCCACUGAAGCAGGAGCCUGUUCUCUGAUGAAGUUGC